GAUGAACGCUGGCGGCGUGCCUAAUACAUGCAAGUCGAGCGAACAGACGAGGAGCUUGCUCCUCUGACGUUAGCGGCGGACGGGUGAGUAACACGUGGAUAACCUACCUAUAAGACUGGGAUAACUUCGGGAAACCGGAGCUAAUACCGGAUAAUAUAUUGAACCGCAUGGUUCAAUAGUGAAAGACGGUUUUGCUGUCACUUAUAGAUGGAUCCGCGCCGCAUUAGCUAGUUGGUAAGGUAACGGCUUACCAAGGCAACGAUGCGUAGCCGACCUGAGAGGGUGAUCGGCCACACUGGAACUGAGACACGGUCCAGACUCCUACGGGAGGCAGCAGUAGGGAAUCUUCCGCAAUGGGCGAAAGCCUGACGGAGCAACGCCGCGUGAGUGAUGAAGGUCUUCGGAUCGUAAAACUCUGUUAUUAGGGAAGAGCAAAUGUGUAAUUAACUAUGCACGUCUUGACGGUACCUAAUCAGAAAGCCACGGCUAACUACGUG
rnacentral:rRNA from 1 species